rnacentral:rRNA from 1 species
UGGGGGAUAUUGCACAAUGGGCGAAAGCCUGAUGCAGCGACGCCGCGUGGGGGAUGAAGGCCUUCGGGUUGUAAACUUCUUUUGCUCUGAACAAGGCGCACCAUGGGGUGUGUUGAGUGUAGGGGUUGAUUAGCGCCGGCUAACUACGUGCCAGCAGCCGCGGUAAUACGUAGGGCGCGAGCGUUGUCCGGAAUUAUUGGGCGUAAAGGGCUUGUAGGUGGCUGGUUGCGUCUGUCGUGAAAGCUCAUGGCUUAACUGUGGGUUUGCGGUGGGGACGGGCUGGCUUGAGUGCAGUAGGGGAGGCUGGAAUUCCUGGUGUAGCGGUGGAAUGCGCAGAUAUCAGGAGGAAUACCGGUGGCGAAGGCGGGGCUCUGGGCUGUUACUGACACUGAGGAGCGAAAGCAUGGGGAGCGAACAGG